UGGGGAAUAUUGGACAAUGGGCGCAAGCCUGAUCCAGCAAUGCCGCGUGGAUGAAGAAGGUCUUCGGAUUGUAAAGUCCUUUCGGCGGGGACGAUGAUGACGGUACCCGCAGAAGAAGCCCCGGCUAACUUCGUGCCAGCAGCCGCGGUAAUACGAAGGGGGCUAGCGUUACUCGGAAUGACUGGGCGUAAAGGGCGCGUAGGCUGUUUGCCGCGUCAGGCGUGAAAUUCCUGGGCUCAACCUGGGGGCUGCGCUUGAUACAGGCAGACUGGAGUGUGGAAGAGGGUCGUGGAAUUCCCAGUGUAGAGGUGAAAUUCGUAGAUAUUGGGAAGAACACCGGUGGCGAAGGCGGCGACCUGGUCCAUUACUGACGCUGAGGCGCGAAAGCGUGGGGAGCAAACAGG
rnacentral:rRNA from 1 species